rnacentral:lncRNA from 1 species
CUGCAGCCAAGAAGGGAGCGCUCUGUUCUGAGCUGCCUGCCACGGUUUUCUACUGAGAAACAGUGGGGCAGUUUCUGGCAGUUCCUGGCAUUAUUCUGGGGGAAUUGCUGUAGUCCUUAUCCCUUGCCUUGCCUCCCACUGGAACACCGAAGAGAGAUGGAAAGGGGCGCACACGGAGGACACUCAGAACAGUCUGUAAGAUUCAACUUAUCUAAGAAACUGCUUGCAACUGAACUUUGAUAGGCACGACUGUGGUGGCAAGAGAGAGAAGCAGUUUGAGGAAGUGCGUCUAGAAGAUACUUAAAAAGGAAUAGAGAGGAAGUUCUCUGCCAUGCAUAUGCAAAUUCCGAUUUGUAUUUGAGCCUGCCA